CGGGGUGUAGCGCAGUUGGUAGCGUAUUACGUUCGGGACGUAGCGGUCGCCGGUUCGAGUCCGGUCACCCCGA
rnacentral:tRNA from 1 species